GCGCUACUCUGCGCUACCCUUGCGCUACCCUGCAUGCAUUAAAGAAAGGAAAGAAAUUGCCUGAGUUUAUUAAGUUCAGCAGGACGGAUCGUGCAUGCGCGAAGAGAUACGGUGCUGCUUUAAGUUCAUUGCAAUCAAUCUGUCCAUCACCAUCUUUGUCUGCCAGUUGGAAUCUUUCACGGUUUCUUUGGAGUGUUCCUCCACGUUUAUUGCUUUGGCCAGCUCUUCCAAAGUAAUUCCACCACUUUUGUCAAGAUCAUAGUUUUUAAACUUGUCUGGAAAUGGAACCCGAACUGUAUGUC